rnacentral:lncRNA from 1 species
UAAACUGAACUUUUCCUUGCAGUCAGCAUUAGGGUUUUAAACCCUAAACUGAGCUUUUCCAUGCAAUCAGCAUUAGGGUUUUAAACCCUAAACUGAACUUUUCCUUUUAGUUAGAUUAGGGUUUUAAACCCUAAACUGAACUUUUCCUUGCAGUCAGCAUUAGGGUUUUAAACCCUAAACUGAACUUUUCCUUUUAGCCAGCAUUAGGGUUUUAAACCCUAAACUGAGCUUUUCCUUUCAGUCAGCAUUAGGGUUUUAAACCCUAAACUGAACUUUCCCUUUCAGUCAGCAUUAGGGUUUUAAACCCUAAAC